rnacentral:ncRNA from 1 species
UAACGUCUUCAGGGCGGGGCGAAAUUCCCCACCGGCGGUAGGCGCCUUGCGCGCGAGCCCGCGAGCGCCCGGGCGGUCCGGUUUCCUGUCAGGAAGCCGCGCCGCGCGGGGUCAGCAGAUCCGGUCGAAUGCCGGAGCCGACGGUCACAGUCCGGAUGAAAGAAGACGACU